UCAAGGUCGACGCCCCCUGAAGGCUGUACCUGCCAUGGCGUGGAUCUCAACAGGAACUUCAAUGCAAACUGGGGCACUGUGGGGGUGUCCAGAGACUGCUGCCACAACAC